rnacentral:rRNA from 1 species
CCUACGGGGGGCAGCAGUGAGGAAUAUUGGUCAAUGGACGAGAGUCUGAACCAGCCAAGUAGCGUGAAGGAUGACUGCCCUAUGGGUUGUAAACUUCUUUUAUAUGGGAAUAAAACGUUCCACGUGUGGGAUUUUGUAUGUACCAUAUGAAUAAGGAUCGGCUAACUCCGUGCCAGCAGCCGCGGUAAUACGGAGGAUCCGAGCGUUAUCCGGAUUUAUUGGGUUUAAAGGGAGCGUAGGUGGAUUGUUAAGUCAGUUGUGAAAGUGUGCGGCUCAACCGUAAAAUUGCAGUUGAAACUGGCAGUCUUGAGUACAGUAGAGGUGGGCGGAAUUCGUGGUGUAGCGGUGAAAUGCUUAGAUAUCACGAAGAACUCCGAUUGCGAAGGCAGUUCACUGGACUGCAACUGACACUGAGGCUCGAAAGUGUGGGUAUCAAACAGGAUUAGAUACCCUUGUAGUC